UGUGAGGUUCGCCGCAGUGUGCCUGAGGGACACCGGAGGAGCACAGCGCUAAUGGGCUUGAGAGAAUUCAUCUGUUUCUGUCCACACAGACCUUUCAGGAACUUCUUCAAUCCCUCGUCAUCCCAAGACUUGGACUGCUGUGAUUUGCCCCUGGCUAGAGGUUUGGGAUUCGAGUCGCGCCGAUGACGUUCGCUGACAUUUCGCCACUCGUUUACUCAGCCAUCGCUCCAUCAGUGGGAUGCCUGACUCAUGACCCCUGACCUUCACAACCUGUUUAAAUGGCACAGUUUCUGCCUGCAGUCUUCAUAAAGAA